AGACCAACGAGGUUAAGAAAGGAACCUUCUCUCCGCAGAACAAAGAAAGAGGCCUAGAAACCAAUGAAGCAGCCGACACAGUUAUCCCUGGACUGAUUAAGCUCUUGCUUUUCGCCAUGCAACUCCGAGAAGGGGAUGGUUCCUUUUUUGAUAAUUGUGGAAAAAGCAAUCUCUCCAAAGCUGGAGUGGGACCCAUUUGCUAAAUGCAAAGGAGCCUGGUACCUUUGCUAAUAUGGCACUGGACAAUUGACCUCAUUAUAAGCUCAUUAUCAUUUUCUUCAUCUUCAUGGAUGACGUCUCCUCUCAGGUGUACAUUCCACCAGCUUGUUGGUUCCAUGAUAUCACCUCUGUUCAAUGGCCAUGCUUUUACUCUGUGUUGUAGAGUUGAUAUAUUAAUCUGUUGUGAUUGUUAUGUAUUUUAUAUUCUUGUAUUUUAUAUUGUGUAUUUUAUACCGCUGUAUUUUAUUGUAUGUUGUUGGGCUUGGGCUUUUUGUUGGGCAUGGGAGCAGCCCUGAGUCUACUCGGGGAGAUGGGGCGGGAUACAAAAAUAAAGAAGUUGUUGUUGUUGUUGUUAUUAUUAUUUCGGUUCUCUGGCCAAUCUUGAAGUGUUGUUUCUCCGAAAAACACCUGGAGGAGGCAAUGUCAGAGGUGCUCUCAGCCAAUAAGGGACGGGAGUGGGUGUUUUGAGUAGCUGUCAAACUGUAUAAGAUGUCUUGCUUUCUCUGUGUGUUAUAUGAGGGUUGAAUGAAAAGUAAUGCCUCCACCUUCGUAACUCCUCAACCAAUGGCAGUCCUGGUCUGAGGCAGGUCCUGGCUUGUUCAGGAGACUCUCCUUGACAGUUCCAUUUGGUGGGAAGCCUUAGCAUUGAACGGUUCUGUUGUUAAAGUGCGAAGUAUGGAGCCCUGCGCAGACGGUCAGUCAAUGCGACUUAAGCAACAUGCAGUCAUUGAAUUCUUGACAGCAGAAGGUGUCACCCCAAAGGAGAUUCAUCAGAGGAUGCAAGCUGUUUAUGGGAAUUGUGUGGCUGCGAGGACGAUGCAUCAUUGGGCGAGUAAGUUUAAAGAUGUUGAGGUGAGAACAUCUGACUCGUGUGACAAACAAAGAGUUGGACGUCCUGUGACAGCAACCACUGAGUUUCACAAGCAAAAGGUGGACAGAUUGAUUCAGGACGAUCGUCGUAUCACUCAGAGAGAAAUUUCAAGCAUAAUUGGCAUUUCACAAGAACGUGUGAAAGAACAAGAACAUUUCACAAGAACAUUAUUGCUUUGCUUGGCUAUCAGAACAUCUGUGCACGAUGGGUCCUGUGAGACGCUGGUUGCUUAAACAGAGUGUCGACUUCUUCUGUGACAGCUUCGGAGAAUUUGUUCAUCGUUGGCAGAAAUGUAUCCAAUUGUCUGGUGAUUAUGUGGAAAAAUGAAUAGUGAUAGUUAAAGGACACAUUCUAUGGAUUAUUUCUGCAUUUGAUUUAUUAAAAUAUUCCCAUACAAACCCAAGUAAUGAAGGUGGAAGCAUUACUUUUCAUUCAACCCUCCUAUGUUUGUACUUUGAAGCAUCUGCUUGUACUUGCAUCCAUUUUGGCUGAAUUGAAUAAACCUCUGUGGUUUGUCUUCAA